rnacentral:lncRNA from 1 species
CUGCGACGUAGAGAGUUCAGCAGCCCUUGGGAUCUUGUUUGCCCUUCUGCAAAGACAUGUGACUAGGGCUACUUGCUCCGCCAGCCAUAAGAAGUUUGUCUGAUCAGGGAGAAACAGCAGGGAAACAGAGCCAUCCCAAGUCCUGCUCCUCAUCAUGACAUAUUAAGUACAUUGUGGGUACAUUGUGGAUACAUAAGGAUACAUAUGGAUGCAUAGAGCAGAGGGUUUCUGAAAGGAUGGGAUCAAGGCUGAUCCUCCCAGCAUUUGUCUCUCAAUCAUAAGCCUAAUAAAAGAGCUGGUAAAGGAAGCCAGAUGGAGAUUGAUGUGGGUAAAUUCUGAUGCUGUUUGUGUGCCU